CGGAGCUCGGCAGCAACUAGACGCCGGUUUCGCCUGCCUUCCAAACACGCCGCCGUCUUCAACCCUUCUUCCAAAACGGACGGGGGAAAGCGAGAAAAUCCCGCGGGCAAGGGCGCGCGCGCGAGCUGCCAUGGAUGCUGGGGCUGAGGAGCUCGGCGGCACAGCUCAGCCCCAAGAGCAGAACCUUGACCCUGGUCCUGUUGAUAAAUCUGUCCUGGUGGAACAGGAGUUUCACAAGUCAGAAGCUAUAUUUGUUGGGAAGAUCUACAAACCUGUUAGAUUUAUCGAACAUGGCACCAGACUUAACCAGUGGGAAGUGAGACAUAAGGGAAUGCUUGCGCUAUUGCAGCGUUCUGGAUUUUACCACCUCUCUUUCUUGAAGCGGGUUCAGUUGGACCAUGCAUUUUUAAAUGCAUUGGUUGAAAGAUGGCGGCGUGAAACACAAACAUUUCACUUGCGGUUUGGAGAAAUUACAGUGCUCUUAAAGGAUGUGGCAAUUCUUACUGGGCUUCGUGUACAUGGUGCUCUUGUCACUGGCCCGGCAAACUGUAAUUGGGAGCAAUUAUGCACACAGCUUCUGGGUCAAGAGCCUCCACAGAUCAAAGGUGGUUCUAUCAACAUUGCAUGGCUCCAUGACACUUUCAAAACAUUACCAUAAGGUGCAAAUCAGUCAGAUGUAGAGUAUGCUGCACGACUCACGAGCGUACAUACUGUACCAAAUCGGCUGCAGUUUAUUUCCUGAUCCGAGUGGAACUAGAGUGCACUUGCGAUAUUUGGCCCUACUCCGUGAUUUUGAUGCCUCAGGAGAGAUGGCCUGGGGGGCUGCUGUUCUUGCCCACCUCUACAGAGAACUUGGAAAGACCAGCAUGAAGGGCAAAGCGAACUGCUGUGCGUUUCUCACUCUUCUUCAGAUAUGGGCAUGGGAGCAUAUCCAGAUAGGCUGUCCUGAAAGGCUAGAGAAUAAGGCUCUACCCGAUGACUUGCCCCUUGGAUGCAGGUUUUUUAUAGCUCAGAUUGUUUUUUAUUACCACUUCUGUUUACUUCAAUAUAUGCUCCAUGAUAUGAAAAACAUCUGAUAACUAGAUGGAAUGUUGCCUUCAAGAACCGUGAAAAUGUCUGAUCCAUGGACCAUGAGUUCUACAGGCAUCGGCUCGAUACUAUAUCAGAUUCUCAGAUCACAUGGGACCCAUACACACCAAACCUGAUCGCUGGGCUUCCUGCAACAUGUACAUUUGGAUCUGCAGUUUGGAGAUCAAGGACUCCAUUAAUAUGCUUCCAGAUAGUGGAAAUGCAUGUGUCUGAUCGUGUCUUACUACAAUUUGGAAUGGUGCAGCACAUACCAGACCUGGUUGAGGCUGUUGAACGUGUUACAAUGCAGGGUAAAGCUGAUCAAGAUUGGCCUACUUACCAUGAUAAGUACAUUAAACAAUGGCAGAACAGGCUCUUCUCUGUUGUCGAGCAACAGGAUACAGGGAACUCAGAUCCUACUCAUGCAAGGAAUCGUUACCUUGAAUGAUAUUGGCGAAUUACACGUCGAUGGAUCUCCACUCCUGUUGAAUGUCCAGUUAUAUCGUAUGAGUUAUCUAGGCAGGCUGGUAAAAUUCUGCAGGUUGAUUUGGUCAAUACAGUACAUGGACGAAUUAGAACUUUGUUAAGUGAAACUGAUGCAAAAAGAAUGAAGGAAUCACUUACUGACAUCGAUGUGUACAUCACUGUUAAAAUGGCGGAGUCUAAGCAGAUUAUGCAAAGUGGUGUUCCAGCUGGCAUGGGAAUUGGGAGUGCUGAAUCAGCCAUGAUCUUUUCAAAUAACGUGGAUCGUCCCCAAGCUACUGUUGCGAAUAUGCAACAAAUUGGUGAUGAUCAUGUCGAGGGAAACACUAUACUGCAAUUGGAUCAAAUGAGGAGAAUUCAACCCACAGUAGGAACUGCUGAUUUAGCACCUCUCACUACAGGUGAUACCACAAGCAACAAAACUGAGGAUGCUCAUCCACAGGGAGAUCCUCUUGAUAUAACCAUGACAGAAGUAAAUCUCCAGGACAUUAUUAGCACACCUGUUGAGGAUGCUAUGACAGAUAUUAUGAACACAUCUGCAGAGGAUGCUACACUGGAGGAUAUUUCAAAUUCAGAAAUGAAGAAUGAUUAUGCAUCCAUAGCGACUGUGGAAGUGCAGGAGACUGUUGGAUCAGUGGACCAAAUCUACAAAAAGGUUACAUCUGAAUUGUAGGAGUUUGCUGGUGCACCUUUGAUUAAUGGUGAAGGAACGGUGUGCAAACCUUCAGUCCUUCCAGAAUUCGAAAAGAUUUUGGGUAUAUCAUCAAAUAAUGAGCACUUGCAGAAGAUCACGGGUGCAUCUGAGAACGAUGUUAUAAUUGAGGAAGCUUUGGGGACAAGAUCAAAGAAUAUUACAGGUCCAAGAACGAUGGGUUGACCUUUUAAUGCCAGUAGACCUGGAGAUACCUUGAAUACAUCUAAGAAAAAGUUCAGUUCAGUGCCAAGUGAUGUUGAAUCUCCCUAUGUCUCUGAACAGGAAGAACCUGAUGCUGCAAUUCCAGGCCCUGACAAACAGCAAGAUGCUGUCCAGACAAAGCUUGAGGACAAUGUUGCUCAGGGUGGAGCCGAUGCUAUGCAAAAUCAAAUAUUUCAAGAGAAUACCAAGGACCCAAUUGAAAAUGGCCAUUGGCAGAAACCUGUUGCUGUACCUGCUGAAGAUUUCCCUAUCAGUAGUGCUGGAGAGGUAACUCAGAGAAUUGUUAAUUCAUUCACUGGAGAAGCAAAUGAUACAGUUGGAAAGGAGGAAUCCGCUGGGGAUGAGGACCUUGGCAAUCUAGGUCCAAACAAACUAUCUAAAAGGAGGAAAUUGAUGGUUCUUUCCCACGAAAAUUCUGAGUUUUGUUUAACCAUAGAGGCUACUAAAAUGGAAACUGCAAAAACAGAGGAGAAAACAGAUCAGAAUGUAAGAAGUGGCAGUGGCCAGUUGAUAGCAUUCACAAGAAGGAAACGAAAGCACUUAUGCAAUCACCGCCCUGACUCCUAAUACUAUUUUGUUACUUUAGGCAAUAUUUUGAGAAGCUUUUUCGCUUAUGUAUGUUUUAGAGUACAAUGGAUGUGAAUUCAGAAUCUUCUUACCAUGAUGUGCAGCCAAGGCGUCAUGCCAAAGGAAUAUCUGAAUCCUUUUCAGAUUAGGAAUAUCUGAACCGAGAUGUGACUAAGAUUGCCAGGACUUGUUGUUCC